UGGGGUUCCCUCCCAACUCUCCAAUUUUACGGCCCUAAAUAGGAGCUAAAACUAGCUACGGCCAGGUUGAUGCACUCGGGACAGUUUGGGUUUUAGAUGUGGUAGAAUGCCACACUCUGGCAUUGCCUGCUCGCUCCUUCUGUGGACUGGCAGCUCCCAGGGGGCAGGGAUUGUCUGCCUUGUGUCUAGGCAGGCACCUAAUGAACACUGGUUGAUUAUCGUACAGUGAAAUGAGCCAGUAAAGGAUGUGAAGCCCUCCCAGGCUUGAGUCGGGAGAUCAGUCUCCAAGGGAAGGAAGAGAGGGAGAAAAGCGAGCCAAGGCCGGCAGGUGUCCACUCCUGCUCCCUGGGAGGAAGUGGAGCUGACCCGGUUGGGGGGACGAGGGGGAGACCGAAGAACAGGAGGAAGAGAUGCGGAAGACAGGAGGGGAGGCACGGGGUAGGAGCAGGAAAGGUGGAAGGAACUAUCUCAGAAUCCACUCUACAAGCUGCUUGACCCAGCCCGGCAGCUGAUUGGUCCAUCUGGCUCUGACAUCACUCUGUGAAGAGCCAACCCAGCUGAGCAAGGGAAUGACUUGUUCCUCCUCAGUGCCAUCCCUCCCCGUUGUACUUCAUGAGGACCUACCUUCAGUAGAAAGGAAGUCCUGCAUUUCCAGAGUGGUAAAUUGCCUUGGCCGCGUGCGUUCCCUCUAUGUGUGCUUCACUACCGUCAUGCUUUAAGUUCAUGUCACUCUUCCUCUCAUGGACUCUGUGAAUAUUGGUGGGAGAGUAUGCCAUAGAUUUUUGGAGGGAAUACUUUGCAACUACUAUCCUUGCUAUGCUGUUUGAGUAAAAGCUUUU